rnacentral:tRNA from 1 species
GAGAGUAGAGCUCAGUGGUAGAGUACAUGAUUAGCAUGCACAAGGUCCUGGGUUAAAUCCCCAGUACCUCCA